GAUGAACGCUGGCGGCGUGCCUAAUACAUGCAAGUCGAGCGAACAGACGAGGAGCUUGCUCCUCUGACGUUAGCGGCGGACGGGUGAGUAACACGUGGAUAACCUACCUAUAAGACUGGGAUAACUUCGGGAAACCGGAGCUAAUACCGGAUAACAUGUUGAACCGCAUGGUUCAACAGUGAAAGACGGUCUUGCUGUCACUUAUAGAUGGAUCCGCGCCGCAUUAGCUAGUUGGUAAGGUAACGGCUUACCAAGGCAACGAUGCGUAGCCGACCUGAGAGGGUGAUCGGCCACACUGGAACUGAGACACGGUCCAGACUCCUACGGGAGGCAGCAGUAGGGAAUCUUCCACAAUGGGCGAAAGCCUGACGGAGCAACGCCGCGUGAGUGAAGAAGGUCUUCGGAUCGUAAAACUCUGUUAUUAGGGAAGAACAAAUGUGUAAGUAACUAUGCACGUCUUGACGGUACCUAAUCAGAAAGCCACGGCUAACUACGU
rnacentral:rRNA from 1 species